rnacentral:rRNA from 1 species
UGGGGAAUAUUGGACAAUGGGCGCAAGCCUGAUCCAGCCAUGCCGCGUGGAUGAUGAAGGCCUUAGGGUUGUAAAAUCCUUUCGACGGGGAAGAUAAUGACGGUACCCGUAGAAGAAGCCCCGGCUAACUUCGUGCCAGCAGCCGCGGUAAUACGAAGGGGGCUAGCGUUGCUCGGAAUUACUGGGCGUAAAGGGUUCGUAGGUGGUGCGGCAAGUUGGAAGUGAAAUCUCUGGGCUUAACCCAGAGGCUGCUUUCAAAACUGCCGUGCUCGAGUGCGAGAGAGGCCAGUGGAAUUGCAGGUGUAGCGGUGAAAUGCGUAGAUAUCUGCAGGAACACCCGUGGCGAAGGCGGCUGGCUGGAUCGCAACUGACACUGAGGAACGAAAGCUAGGGGAGCAAACAGGAUUAGAUACCCUGGUAGUCCUAGCCCUAAACCAUCGGAACUUGGGGUGGCCCGCGUAGGCGGGUCGUCCCGUAGCUAACGCGUUAAGUUCCGCGCCUGGGGAGUACGGUCGCAAGACUG